rnacentral:rRNA from 1 species
GACGAACGCUGGCGGCGUGCCUAAUACAUGCAAGUUGAGCGAUGAAGAUUGGUGCUUGCACCAAUUUGAAGAGCAGCGAACGGGUGAGUAACGCGUGGGGAAUCUGCCUUUGAGCGGGGGACAACAUUUGGAAACGAAUGCUAAUACCGCAUAAUAACUUUAAACAUAAGUUUUAAGUUUGAAAGAUGCAAUUGCAUCACCCAAAGAUGAUCCCGCGUUGUAUUAGCUAGUUGGUGAGGUAAAGGCUCACCAAGGCGAUGAUACAUAGCCGACCUGAGAGGGUGAUCGGCCACAUUGGGACUGAGACACGGCCCAAACUCCUACGGGAGGCAGCAGUAGGGAAUCUUCGGCAAUGGACGAAAGUCUGACCGAGCAACGCCGCGUGAGUGAAGAAGGUUUUCGGAUCGUAAAACUCUGUUGGUAGAGAAGAACGUUGGUGAGAGUGGAAAGCUCAUCAAGUGACGGUAACUACCCAGAAAGGGACGGCUAACUACGUG